ACAAUUUCUUUCAAACACAUAAACAAUCUUACUGACCCUGAAAGGUUUGAAGGGUAGUGUAGAAAGAAAUAAUUUAAGACCUGUUUGAGUUUCAGUAGAGGUCAAGGAGUUCACUAAGGGAGGUGUGUCACUUGAGAAGAGCAGUAACACAAGUAGGUAUUUCACAUCUUACUUAACCAGUUGAACACUUUUGCUCAGGUGUCUUUUUACCUUUCACAUUCCUAUUCUUUACAGAAAAACCAUGUUGUUGGGAAAGCCAGUCAUUUUGUGAUGCCCCGGGGCUCUCGAAGGGUCAGGGGGUCAGUUAGAUGCCGUUUUCCCAGCAGUGGUUUCAGUGGAAACCGGGAGCCUCCCAUUUGUGGUACAGACCUCUUGCCAUUUAGCCACCUGCCUCCAAUAAAGAAAAGCAAGCGGCCGGCAAAGUUCAGCGCUCGCCUCGGGCAGCUGGACGUGUUAUUGAUCGGGUGGGGGGGAGUUCUUUCCCUCCUCUCCUUCUGAUGAAGGCCGGACUUUGGUCUGAGCUGCAUUCCUGGGUUCUGUUCAGCUCGGAGGCAGAAGGGAGGGAGGAUGUGGAGGGGAGGAGGGACCCAGGGGCUGGAAAUCACUUGUCAUGUGCGUAUAAAAGUGUGCCUUUCGUUUCAGAGCAUGCUCACUGAGGCACGCUCGCCUCCCACCAAAUCCAGCCCCCAAAUUUGAACUGGAGGGAGGGGAAGUUACGGCACUGACUCUUGUGUUGUUGUACUCUGUGUCUGUUUGGCUCCAACCUCGAGUGGCUCCUUCUGCACCCAUGGCUCUACGGUUGAAAAGGUGAACGUGGAUUACUGUGGAACAGAUGGACGGCAUUGACAGGAAGCCAUGUGAGAUGACUGGAGAGGAGAAGAACAAGUAUGGGGCCCUUUGUUACCAUGCUGAGAGAGACUGAUCGGGUCAGUGCAACUGUUGUCAUUUCAUUCCUCCAUCAUAUAUCCCCCAGCAAGACCCAUCAGAUCAACCCUGAAGAAUGGGGUCAAUCUUGGGUUUGCUGGCAGAUUAGCUGCUCAGGCAAUAAAUGAUCUGUGAGGAUGAAACCCAGGCCAAAUAGCACUUACAACCUUCUUUGAAAAGCCUUUGAAAAGCUCCAGUUUAUUCCAGAUGGGCACAUUUUGUUUACCUGCACAGACCUUGAGUAUGCUUGGGUCGAGUUCAAGCAUCUCUUGUAUGUGUUUUCAAAUUGAAACUUUUAUACUUAUAAAAGCUUAUUUCAAAUAACUUGACAGCAUUCCCUGUCCAUUUUAAGUUCAUACGCCUCUCAAAAAUAAACUCUAAUAAAAAGCAUAAUGCCCACGCAUAAAAAAAA